GAAAAUAUAUAUAACUAAUGUUUAACUAAAUACAAGUAUACUAUAGCUAAAUACAUAAAUUUCUUCCAUUUCAUUUCAUUCUCAAGGCGUACAUCAAAAUGAUUUAAAGUGGUGUACCUGAUAUUGGAAUACAAAUAAGAGGAAGGUCAGUAGGAAGCAAUAGCAGCAUACACACAACAACAACAUUUCAACAACACGUGAGUAGCCAAGAGACAACGGGAAUAGUAGAAGACCCAGGAAAUUGCAACCAAGCAAAAAGACAAGGAAUUUUAAACCAACCGAAAACCAACAGUAAACCCAAGCAAGACUACUUCAACGCCAGUAGUAUUAGAAAACAAGUACAAACCAACAGAGAAAUAAUCAGUUGCCAAAAAUAGUCACUUCUGAUUUUUAACACUCAAGAAAAGAAGCUUGAACCUUCAAUGAACAAUAGCAAUUGAUGAUGAUUUUUAGCAGCGAAGAAAAGAAACAAAUUUAUUUUCGAUUUCUAACUUUCGAACUCUCUCUAAUUCUUAAGAUUCAAAAUCUUUUUAUCUCCUCUCAAGUUCUGAAAUUUUUUGCUCUCUCAAUUUCCGUCCCCCAAUACGUGUAAAAUGAGUCCUAUUAUAUACCCAAAAGGCAAGACUCUUUCCCCUAUCCUUUUAACUAUUAUUACUACUCCUUUUAUUAUUACCUUACGAUUUCUAAUUCCCAAUCAACAAAAGCAGUCAAACGUGGAUUCCGCAAUCCAUUCUCUUUUUACUUUAUUAUUAUGCUCCCCACAUGUCUUGUCCCGUCUUUUUACUUUACAUAAUUAUGCUCCCCACUAUAUUUUUAAAUAAUUCUUUAAUUUUCAAUUCCAAAAAUAUCCCUCCCAAACUACUAAAAUUACCAUUAUACCCUCAUCGGCUAUUCAAUCCUUCCUAAUUAAUUAAGCAAACUACAACAGCUAUAACCAAUCUUUAGUGAGAAAUCCUAACAAUUGGAUAAUCAAAUCAUAUGAACUCCCAAUUGACAACACUUAAGAACCAGUUUAUCACGGUCAGAUUCACAUCAGAGCAACAUUAAGAUUCAUCAAACUCAAAUCACAAUUUAAGCUUAAAACUCAAUUGAAGACCAAUGACUCAGAACAAAAUCAUAUUGAAUCAGAACAAAAUCAUAUUGAACUUAACAAGGUCAUAUUUCCAACCAUGAUUUGACACAGAUAAAAGGCAUGAACUAACACAAUUCUAACUUGAACAAACAUGAAUGAACACUAACAAGAUACUUAACAGACUGACCUCAUAUGCAAACAAUAAUAGGAAACACAAAGAAAUUAAGAACCGGUCCAAGCAAUGACAUCUGCUUCAAUUUCCGCAGUCUGAUUAUUCAUGUAAAUGACAAACACCCUUUUGUGAGGCACCGAAAAAUGACAUGGACUGCCCGAAAAAUCAAAUUCGGUCGAAUCUGCCAAAGUUCAAACAACAAACAUCACCCUCUUUUUUAUUUAUUUAUGGAUUUAUAAUUUGCAUAUAAUAGUACAUAAAUAAAAAAAAUAAAAAGUAAAUACAAAGGGUGAAGGAGGAUAAGAAAAGGGCAGCGACAACGAGCUACAUGGUUUCAGCGACGAGUCUGGCGGCGGUUCGUUUGAGGUCAUUGCUGGAUGGUCGGAGACGAGCUACUGCUGAGCGGAAGUCGUUUGGAUGCGAAAGAGAUGGAGUUAUGGCAGACUGUGGUCGGAGGUGGUCGUUGUACGGCUGGAGUCGCGACAGGGAUAGGUGAUCAAAGACGGAGAAGUAGGUGGUCGUGACAGUGGUCGACCGUUGUUGACGGACUGGAGGAAGCGCUGGACAAAGUAGCUAUGGUGGUUCGACGUGAGGUUGAGCUCGUUUGGGAGGGUUGACGACGAGAAGAUGGCUGUAGUGGUUUAGGGGGUAGUUUUAAGAUAGGGUUUUGAGUGGUUUCUUGUUAAAGAAGGAGGGCACUCAUGGAUGUCGUGAAGGUGGAGAAGAGGAAGAAGAUGAAGGUUUUCCAAAUGUGUCUCCAAAAAAUGAGAGAAAAUGGUUGAUUCCUAACUUAGCUCCUAGGGUUUGGUUAUUUGGGGUUGGACCGGGUCAGGUUAUGGGUCGUGGGGUGUGGGCUUGGUGUAAGCACGUGAUUUUUUGCCCUACAUGAAGAUAACUCCUAAAAAUAAGUCAAAAUAAAUUUUAUUGAUCUUUUAGAAAUUUUUCUUUUGUAGUCUUAUUUCAUACAUUUUAAUAUUUUAAAAUCACAAUAAUAAAAUAUAAA
rnacentral:lncRNA from 1 species